rnacentral:rRNA from 1 species
GAUGAACGCUGGCGGCGUGCCUAAUACAUGCAAGUCGAGCGAACAGACGAGGAGCUUGCUCCUCUGACGUUAGCGGCGGACGGGUGAGUAACACGUGGAUAACCUACCUAUAAGACUGGGAUAACUUCGGGAAACCGGAGCUAAUACCGGAUAAUAUAUUGAACCGCAUGGUUCAAUAGUGAAAGACGGUUUUGCUGUCACUUAUAGAUGGAUCCGCGCCGCAUUAGCUAGUUGGUAAGGUAACGGCUUACCAAGGCAACGAUGCGUAGCCGACCUGAGAGGUGGAUGGGCCACACUGGAACUGAGACACGGUCCAGACUCCUACGGGAGGCAGCAGUAGGGAAUCUUCCGCAAUGGGCGAAAGCCUGACGGAGCAACGCCGCGUGAGUGAUGAAGGUCUUCGGAUCGUAAAACUCUGUUAUUAGGGAAGAACAAAUGUGUAAGUAACUGUGCACGUCUUGACGGUACCUAAUCAGAAAGCCACGGCUAACUACGUG